rnacentral:snRNA from 1 species
AUCGCUUCUCGGCCUUUUGGCUAAGAUCAAGUGUAGUAUCUGUUCUUAUCAGUUUAAUUGAAAUCUAUUCUAAAAUAAAAAAGUUUACUUAAAAAGCAAAAACAAA